UACGUAGGGGGCAAGCGUUGUCCGGAAUCAUUGGGCGUAAAGAGCGCGUAGGCGGCCCUGUAAGUCCGCUGUGAAAGUCCAGGGCUCAACCCUGGAAUGCGGGUGGAUACUGCCGGGCUAGAGUCCGGAAGAGGCGAGUGGAAUUCCUGGUGUAGCGGUGGAAUGCGCAGAUAUCAGGAGGAACACCAAUAGCGAAGGCAGCUCGCUGGGACGGUACUGACGCUAAGGCGCGAAAGCGUGGGGAGCGAACAGG
rnacentral:rRNA from 1 species